CCCUUAGAUGUUCUGGGCUGCACGCGCGCUACACUGAUGCAUCCAACAAGUUUUCUCCCUUGUUCGGUAGGACUGGGUAAUCUUUUGAGUAUGCAUCGUGAUGGGGAUAGAUUAUUGCAAUUAUUAGUCUUGAACGAGGAAUUCCUAGUAAGCACAAGUCAUCAGCUUGUGUUGAUUACGUCCCUGCCCUUUGUACACACCGCCCGUCGCUCCUACCGAUUGAAUGUUCCGGUGAGCUCUUCGGACUGCGCGGUCUGCAGUUUCUGCGUUCCGUGCGGAAAGUUGCGCAAACCUUAACAUUUAGAGGAAGGAGAAGUCGUAACA
rnacentral:rRNA from 1 species